UUCGGGUGGCUGGCGAGUGGCGAACGGAUGAGUAACACGUGGAGACCUGCCCUAGGGUACGGGACAACAGUUAGAAAUGACUGCUAAUACCGUAUACGUCCUACGGGAGAAAGAUUUAUUGCCCUUGGAGGGGUCCGCGUUGGAUUAGCUAGUUGGUAGGGUAACGGCCUACCAAGGCGACGAUCCAUAGCUGGUCUUAGAGGACGAUCAGCCACACUGGGACUGAGACACGGCCCAGACUCCUACGGGAGGCAGCAGUGGGGAAUAUUGCGCAAUGGGGGCAACCCUGACGCAGCGAUGCCGCGUGAGUGAAGAAGGCCUUCGGGUUGUAAAGCUCUUUCAGCGGGGAAGAUAGUGACGGUACCCACAGAAGAAGCUCCGGCUAACUCCGUGCCAGCAGCCGCGGUAAUACGGAGGGGGCGAGCGUUGUUCGGAAUUAUUGGGCGUAAAGAGCACGUAGGCGGUUUGGCAAG
rnacentral:rRNA from 1 species